AUCAACUUUCGAUGGUAGGAUAGAGGCCUACCAUGGUGGUAACGGGUAACGGGGUGUUAGGGCACGACACCGGAGAGGGAGCCUGAAAAACGGCUACCACAUACAAGGAUGGCAGCAGGCGCGCAAAUUACCCAAUCCCGACACGGGGAGGUAGUGACAAUAAAUAACAAUACGGGGUUCUUUCAGAUCUCGUAAUUGGAAUGAGUACAAUUUAAAUCUCUUAACGAGGAACAAUUGGAGGGCAAGUCUGGUGCCAGCAGCCGUGGUAAUUCCAGCUCCAAUAGCGUAUAUUAAAGUUGUUGCAGUUAAAAAGCUCGUAGUUGAAUUUCGGGAUCAAUUUAUUGGUCGUGCUAUUGUACGUACUGGUAUUAUUGAUUUCUACCUUCUGACGAACCAUGAUGUCAUUAAUUUGGUGUCAUGGGGAAUCAGGACUGUUACUUUGAAAAAAUUAGAGUGUUUAAAGCAGGCUCACGCUUGAAUACAUUAGCAUGGAAUAACGAAAUAGGACGUUUGAUUCUAUUUUGUUGGUUUCUAGGAUCGAUGUAAUGAUUAAUAGGGAUAGUUGGGGGCAUUAGUAUUCAAUUGUCAGAGGUGAAAUUCUUGGAUUUAUUGAAGACUAACUACUGCGAAAGCAUUUGCCAAGGAUGUUUUCAUUAAUCAAGAACGAAAGUUAGAGGAUCGAAGACGAUCAGAUACCGUCGUAGUCUUAACCAUAAACUAUGCCGACUAGGGAUCAGAUGAUGUUAAUUUUUUAAUGACUCAUUCGGCGCCUUACGGGAAACCAAAGUGUUUGGGU
rnacentral:rRNA from 1 species